UCUAGUCCUCCCCUCCUCAGUUCUGUUGACUCUAGUCCUCCCCACCUCAGUUCUGUUGACUAGUCCUCCCACCCCCAUUCCUCCCCUCCUCAGUUCUGUUGACUCUAGUCCUCCCACCCCCAUUCCUUCUCGCCUCAGUUCCAAGGUGCCAAAUUAUUUGAAGCUAUUGAAAGAACUGUUUUAGAUUUAUUGUGAAGAUUGUGGCAUCUUAGUGACACAACUAUCAGGGGCACCAAGCUGUUUGGUAUGUAAACCGAUUUCAUGUUUCAAUGUCAUAUUUUCAGAUCUACAAUCCACAAUAGCUGUUGUAGGAGGAGGCUUUAUGUUAUGCUCAGUAUUUCAACUGUUUUCAAUAGCAUGUGUUUUGCCAGUUAAUCAGUCAUCUCUUGGUAACAACUUAUGUUCACAUUUACCCUGUACAUUUCCACAUUUCAAAUGUGUCAUGAUGGACCUGAUGAACCUGUGAUUAUUCACCAAUACAGACAAUAACACCACGUAUGAGAACGGGAAGGUCCCUUUAUUACGGGGAGAGUGAAAGAUGUCAUUAUUCACCAAUACAGACAAUAACACCACGUAUGAGAACGGGAAGGUCCCUUUAUUACGGGGAGAGUGAAACCUGUCAUUAUUCACCAAUACAGACAAUAACACCACGUAUGAGAACGGGAAGGUCCCUUUAUUACGGGGAGAGUGAAACCUGUCAUUAUUCACCAAUACAGACAAUAACACCACGUAUGAGAACGGGAAGGUCCCUUUAUUACGGGGAGAGUGAAAGAUGUCAUUAUUCACCAAUACAGACAAUAACACCACGUAUGAGAACGGGAAGGUCCCUUUAUUACGGGGAGAGUGAAAGAUGUACAACGUUGAAAUGGUUUUGACUAGAAGAGAGAAAUAAAGGUUGCGUUUGAUUAUGUCAUGUUA